GAUGAAGAACGCAGCAAAAUGCGAUAAGUAAUGUGAAUUGCAGAAUUCAGUGAAUCAUCGAGUCUUUGAACGCACAUUGCGCCCCCUGGUAUUCCGGGGGGCAUGCCUGUCCGAGCGUCAUUGCUGCCCUCAAGCACGGCUUGUGUGUUGGGCCGCCGUCCCCGGUUUCCCCCGGGGACGGGCCCGAAAGGCAGCGGCGGCACCGCGUCCGAUCCUCGAGCGUAUGGGGCUUUGUCACCCGCUCUGUAGGCCCGGCCGGCGCCAGCCGACACCCAACUUUAUUUCUAAGGUUGACCUCGGAUCAGGUAGGGAUACCCGCUGAACUUAAGCAUAUCAAUAAGCGGAGGA
rnacentral:misc_RNA from 1 species